GAUCCCCGGACGCGCGGCCCCCCCACCCGCGGCCCCGCGCGCCUCUCCCUGACACCACCCUCCGCGGCCCCCUCCGGACCCUCUGGCCCCCAAGACGCCCCUCCGGCCCUCCCCUAGGAGAGGGGGCCCUCGCCAAGUCUCCGCCUUCCUGCCCUCCUCCUGUCAAUGCCGCUGUCCAGAGCUCGCAGCCCUGGGAACGCCACUCCAGCGGGGCCUCCUUCUCCUGGGACCCCCUGGGCCCCACCCCCAGGACCUCCCACCUCUGCAAACCCCGAGUUUGCUUUUCCCAUCCACCGGGCAGCUCUUCUCCACGCCCACCUGGCUGGACCCGGGAAACCGAAGAAGUUAGUGGGGGUUCACCAGUAGGAAUCGGUAUGAGGGAGAGCCUGGAGGAGGAAAUGGGGAAAGGGGAAAUGUUCAGAAGGAAUGGAGGACAGCGAGCAGGGUAUUCGGGGAUGGAGGACCAAGUGUGUUUCUUUGGGAAGUGCUGGCAUGUAGGGGUGUGUGCUGUGUACCUGUGUGAAGGAUGUACGCAGAAUGUAGAGUAUGGGGUACGUGAGGGUGGUGUGUACGUAUGUGUCCUGUGGCGGGGAGCGGUGUGCAUUCCGAGAUGUGCGCAGGGUGAACACAGUGUACGUGCAAUGUCCAGGCGUGUGGUGUGCAAGUGUGUGUCUGUGUGUUAUGUGGUGAAUGUGCAGGAAAGGUGUCGCCUUGAGGUGUGGGUAGAGUAUUGUAGGUGCUGGGGGGUUAUGAAUAGGGUAUGCGGGAGAACUGGCUAGAGAUUUCUCUCAGAGGACCAGCCAUGGAGAAGGCCAGGAUGAAGUCUUGGGGAGAACCUCGGGUGAGUUCAGCUCUGAGUCCAUUUCCGUUUUCAGAUCUGGCAGACAAAUCCCUCACACUCAGGUAAAUAAAUUCGGCCUGUGCUCGAGUGCACGAGAAGGGAGAACGUUGUAGUAGCCCAGAUCUGGACUUGGACCACUGGAGGCCUCCCUCUGGCAACCCCGCCCUGGCCUGCAGUCCGGGGUGUGGGUGAUUCAGGCCGCCUGCGCAGCAGCUUCGGAACCGCGGGUUGCCUUGGCUGCGCCUUUAGCUGGGGCUGGGAGAAGCCGGGUCCGAGAGUCGGGAAGAGGGAGAGGUGGAGAGAAUGCGCCUGCGCACGAGUCUUUCCCACAGCAGGAGGAGCAGAAUUUGAAACAGCAGCAUACCGGUCCUGCGCCUGGUGAAGGAUGACUCGCCAGAAAGCAAAGGCACAGCCCUACCUCCGCGAGCUUGGCGCGUGGCCCAGGAGGCUCCGCGAGCCCUCGUACGUAAGGAUCGCGGCGCCCACGCUUGAGAGCAGAGCUCAGUGCAAACUUCCAACGGUUCUUCCAGUUUCCAGGGAAACGAGAUCUGGAGCUGCUGUGCGUUGCAGAGCUGCCUCUCUGCAACCCACAUGGGACCCCUGUGGCUGGCUGGUCUUGGGGAAGAAGGAGUUGAAGCCACCACAUCCAUGAAGGUUUUGUCUGGAGCCUGUCUGAUCCGAUGCAUUCAGUACUGAAAGCUUUCAGGAACAUUCUUUUACUCACUUCUCAGGACAACCGGUGAGGUAGGUCCCCUGUUAUCCCCAGUAGGACUUUUCAUUAGUAAAUUAGUGACUGGAAUUGGGACAGAAACCCACACUCUGUGACCAGGCUAUGCUCCCCCCACCCCCGAUGCCUUCCUGAUUCCAACCCCUGCAGAGGAUCCUCAAGGUGCAGGAUUUCCCUGGAGUACAAAUAGGUCUUUUCUAUCAGGUCGGAUUGGAAAUGGCCAGGUCAGGAGAAUUCCAACUAUUUCUGGGGCUAGCUGAGUAUGUACGUGUCUGUGGUGCCAAAAAAAAAAAUAAAUAAAAAUCUAGUUCUUUGGAGAGUAUGGUGGCAGGAGCCUGCAAACACGGAGAGGGGAACUCACUGAGAAGGGUCUUUAAGCCGAAGCAAUUCAAUUUUAUUCUGAGGGCAGGAACACAGAGAUUUCAGGCGAGCAUCCUGGCGUGUGCUGAGAAGGAGCUCUGCUGCCUGGGAUCUAGGGGAGCGAAAGGAGCUUUCUCUCUGCUUGCAGUGUAAAAUCCCAGGUACAGGGAAUCACCCUGCAGCUUCUGCUCAGCAGUCUUUCUAAAAGGACUGGGAGUUAGCGGAGAGUGGGAGGGGCAAUCUGUGGUCCCGCGACAGCGAAACCGGGGAUGACAUUGAAGCUAACCCAGGUAGGAUUUUAGAGCAGAUUGAAUUGCUUUAUUUCAGGAUCCUUUCACCGAGGAAGAGCUCAUCAUGCUCUGUUGUGAGCCAUCCUCAACUUCCACUUGCAGAGUCUGCUUAACCUUCCAUGCAUGCCAAGGAGGGGACCCAGGGUAGCUGCGGUCUAGUCACGUGACCUGGAGGGUCAGAGGCAGGAAGGAGAGCAACUCCAGAAAGAACCACACCGGUGAGGGAUAACUUUGCCACUUUUCCAGGAAAAUGACAUCAUUAACUACUGUUCAAGUUCCUACAGAGGUCUGGCGGCCUUCUGGGGGCAGGUAUCACUCUCCCACACCAUCACCUUUUAAAUAUUUUAUUAACAUAUGUCUUAGUCUACCUUCUUUUACUGUAACUGAAUAACAUUUACAAAGAACAAUGGUUUAUUUAGCUAACACUUCAGAAGUGCUUGCAACUGUGAAGCCCUUGUGCUGUGUAUAGUAUGGUGUAAGGAAUGACUUGGCAAGACAGAGCAGCCAAAGAGCUUCUUCCACAACAAAACCGCUCAACCAAUUAUAUCCCAAAGGUUCCACCAAACACCAUGAGCAUAUGACUUUGGGGGUCACGUUUCUCGCCUGUGGAUUCUGGGGACAAGCGUUCAUGCAUCACAAGUAGCCAAAUAGUUGAAAUGUUCAUUGUUAAGCCUCACCCCCUCCCGACCCCCCUUUUUUUCCUAGGAACAGCCACGUUAAUCUGUUACUUCACACAGGCAGUGCAGGCAUCCUCUGUGCAAAACACCCAACGGUGAAUCUUCCAAAGAAUUCAUGAAACCGUAGCCGAGUUCUCAGAGACACAACAGUGUUUCUUACUAUGUUCAAAGUCUUAUAGAAUGUAACACAGAAAAUAUUAAAUAUACAAUGUGCUAUCUUCAUGGCAUAGAAACAAGCAUUUAUCUAACUUACGAAAGACAGAAGUGCCCGAGACACGGCCCAGGACCUGUCAGCCAACCAGAGCUUCUUCCUGCACUUGCUUAGGCAUUUGUAGAAGGAAUCUAUCCCAGCCGCUACAGCUGGUCUGGUUUGUUUUCUUUUGUUUGUUCAUUUGUUUUUAUUUUACAGAGAGUCAGAGAGCAUGAUUCUCCCUACCUGGCUUCUUUUGUUCCAUAAAUAAUGUUUGUGGAGCGUGUCCACGAUGCUGCGCACAGCCCUGGCUCACUCAUGGCUGGUAAUGAAACCCUGCAGCUGACCAGUUUCACUGCAGUAAGCAACACAUUGCUUCUUGUUUGGGAAUGGUGUGUCGGGAAUCAUUGAGACACGCAGCUGAGUAACCCUGUCUGAUUAAUACUGUCUUUACUUCUAUUUCCCCCUCUUUGCAUCGAGGUGCAAUUUAUGUACAAUAAGAAUCAUUGAUUUUAACUGUAUGAUUCCACGAGUUUGGACAGCUGCAUACAUUAUACGGACGACCCACUCAUGACUCAAUGCUGGUCCAACUCCUGCAAAUGCUAAGCUCAGCUUUUCCCGACUCCCACCUCGUGCAGUAUACAGGAUUUCCUGUGCAUGGGCAACCUUUUCUGUCUGGCUUCAGUGCCUUUCAGAUUCGUCCAAACUCUCACAUGAAUCGAUUGGUUGUGCUUAUUGCUGAAUAGAAUUCUAGUAAAAAGUGUUUAUCCAUUCACGGCAUGGUGGGCAUUCUGGCUGUCUCUGACGGGGUGACUGACCUGUAUUCAACCGUGGUACCAUGCAGGUUUAAGUCGAUAUGAGCGUGCUUCCAACUCCUUAGGUGUGUGGUAGGAGUGUGAUUGCUGGGCUGCAUCACCACACAUUUACAGUUAUCCUUAAAGAAAACAGAAGAUCAUUAACUAGAAUCAUUUUCCGCCCCCAUCCCCCCGUGCCGUAUGUGUAUACUCCUGGGUUGUGUUUUUAGCAACACAAGGUGUGUCAGCUUCCCUAGCAUGUUGGCCAGCCUGGCGUCCAUAGAUGGAUUCUCAUGGUGGCUUUAAUUUGCAUUGCCUGGUUUUGAAUGCUAUCAACACUUUCACUUAUCUUCAGUAAUGCGCGGGCGCGCGCGCGCGCGCGCACACACACACACACACACACACACACACACACACACACACUUGGUUAGCUUUUUCGAAAAUUACGUGGUCUCUAAGUCUCUAUCAUUUUAUCAACAGUGAAUAGAAGCGUGACUGGAAAUGUGGCGUACGUUGGCCCUGUGGAUUCUCCUGUAAUAGCCCAAGCACAUAUUAUACCUCUUUCAGCUGAUCCCUCGAAAACUCAUCACUACUCAACCUGGUCUCCUCUGGAGUCUAAAUGAAGCACUUAAUGGGAAUCCACCUAAGCCUCCUCUGGCUUCUGUUUAUGACAGUAAAGAGUCCAGGUAAGUCAUGUCAGGGGUAGACAGAGCUGCCAGCUGCCCAUGUCUUAGCGAGAUCAGUGAGCUAUAUCUCCCAAGAGAGAAUUGUCAUUCUGCCUCUCUGCCAUGAGGACACUGCUGGACCACCUCUGCAGGAGCUUGCACUGAUGCUGUGCUAGAAAGAACAAAGACCCUUCUCUGCUUUGGUUUCCUUUAGAAAUGGUUCUGGCUCUGUCUCCCACAUACUCCAGCCUCCCACCACUCCAACUGGGGUGAACUUUCCUUCUACCUGUGGAACACAUCAAAUGGAGUUCUUGUGUUUCCUGUGUUCAUUUUCUCGUCUGAAAUCAUGCUGUUGCUGCUGUCUACCACACUAUGUCCUUGUAUUCCUAGACCUCCAAAACCAGGGCUGGACAGUCCAGGUGGAGCCUUUCUUCCUUAGCAGACGUAAGUAGACACAACCAUCCUGUAGGGCGAACAAGAGCUUGGUGGCUGGACAACCACUUCAGAUUUUCAAAUACACCCUCACAGAGAUGCUCAGGGAUGCUCACUGAAGUUUCAUCUGAGGCAGGGAGUCACAAGAAAGCAGAGAAGGAUGACCCCUGCCAAAACCAUGUUAGAGCAAAGGUGGCAGGGUCUCCCUUCCCUUGAAAUAACUCAAAUGCUGGACAGAGGACAGAAAGCAUGGUUUUCAAAUGCUAAUCAUGAAACAAGGCAAGACUGUGACAGAGAAUCAAAGAAAGCCUCCAGUGCCUCGUGUAACAGCUUAAGAGUUGCCAGCAAUGGUGCCAGCCGAGGAGCCCAGGCAGACUCAAAGAACUUCCCUGGGUUUAAGAGACAUGCUUGUGCUCAAGGGACCAAACUAAAUGUAUACAGGUUUGAUUUUUGUCAAUUAUGCUUCAAUAUAACUAUAAAAACUGGGGUAAAAGCACACUGUAAAAUACUGUCAAUCAGAAGUAACAAAGCUGUAUCUAAUACAUAACUCUAAGUGAGUAAAGAAUCAAUAUUGUCCAACCA
rnacentral:sRNA from 1 species